rnacentral:rRNA from 1 species
GACGAACGCUGGCGGCGUGCUUAACACAUGCAAGUCGAACGGAAAGGCCUCUUUCGGGGGGUACUCGAGUGGCGAACGGGUGAGUAACACGUGAGUAACCUGCCCUUGACUUUGGGAUAACUUCAGGAAACUGGGGCUAAUACCGGAUAGGAGCUCCUGCUGCAUGGUGGGGGGUGGAAAGUUUCGGCGGUUGGGGAUGGACUCGCGGCUUAUCAGCUUGUUGGUGGGGUAGUGGCUUACCAAGGCUUUGACGGGUAGCCGGCCUGAGAGGGUGACCGGCCACAUUGGGACUGAGAUACGGCCCAGACUCCUACGGGAGGCAGCAGUGGGGAAUAUUGCACAAUGGGUGGAAGCCUGAUGCAGCAACGCCGUGUGCGGGAUGACGGCCUUCGGGUUGUAAACCGCUUUCGCUCAUGACGAAGCUUUGUGUGACGGUAGUGGAGAAAGAGGCACCGGCUAACUACGU